rnacentral:rRNA from 2 species
AGACCCGAAACCCGGUGAUCUAGCCAUGGGCAGGUUGAAGGUUGGGUAACACUAACUGGAGGACCGAACCGACUAAUGUUGAAAAAUUAGCGGAUGACCUGUGGCUGGGGGUGAAAGGCCAAUCAAACCGGGAGAUAGCUGGUUCUCCCCGAAAGCUAUUUAGGUAGCGCCUCGUGAAUUCAUCUCCGGGGGUAGAGCACUGUUUCGGCUAGGGGGCCAUCCCGGCUUACCAACCCGAUGCAAACUGCGAAUACCGGAGAAUGUUAUCACGGGAGACACACGGCGGGUGCUAACGUCCGUCGUGAAGAGGGAAACAACCCAGACCGCCAGCUAAGGUCCCAAAGUCAUGGUUAAGUGGGAAACGAUGUGGGAAGGCCCAGACAGCCAGGAUGUUGGCUUAGAAGCAGCCAUCAUUUAAAGAAAGCGUAAUAGCUCACUGGUCGAGUCGGCCUGCGCGGAAGAUGUAACGGGGCUAAACCAUGCACCGAAGCUGCGGCAGCGACGCUGAUGCGUUGUUGGGUAGGGGAGCGUUCUGUAAGCCUGCGAAGGUGG